rnacentral:misc_RNA from 1 species
CAGCCCUUGUCCAUGUUUCAAGCAAUUCUGAGUUUCUGCGUAGCUGUCCAAGAUUGAUCAGGCUCUAGCUGAACCUUCCUAAUCUUAGCAUUCUCAACACAAACGAAAUCCCUAUAGCAUGCUUCCAUCUGCAAAUGUGGGUUCCAUAGCACUGCAUCGGACCAAUUUGUAUUGCUGAUAAGUAUGUUGUCACCCAAGCCAUUAUCCAG